rnacentral:rRNA from 1 species
UACAGAGGGGGCAAGCGUUGUUCGGAAUUACUGGGCGUAAAGGGCGCGUAGGCGGCCGCCUAAGUCAGACGUGAAGUCCCUCGGCUCAACCGGGGAACUGCGUCUGAUACUGGGUGGCUUGAAUCCGGGAGAGGGAUGCGGAAUUCCAGGUGUAGCGGUGAAAUGCGCAGAUAUCAGGAAGAACACCCGUGGCGAAGGCGGCUCUCUGGGACGGUACUGACGCUGAGACGCGAAAGCGUGGGGAGCGAACAGG